UACGUAGGUGGCAAGCGUUAUCCGGAUUUACUGGGUGUAAAGGGCGUGUAGGCGGGAAAGCAAGUCAGAUGUGGAAACCAUGGGCUCAACCUGUGGCCUGCAUUUGAAACUGUUUUUCUUGAGUACUGGAGAGGCAGACGGAAUUCCUAGUGUAGCGGUGAAAUGCGUAGAUAUUAGGAGGAACACCAGUGGCGAAGGCGGUCUGCUGGACAGCAACUGACGCUGAGGCGCGAAAGCGUGGGGAGCAAACAGG
rnacentral:rRNA from 1 species